rnacentral:rRNA from 1 species
GAUGAACGCUGGCGGCGUGCCUGAUACAUGCAAGUCGAACGGACUGGCACUGGGUGGAAGCCUCGGAUAGCGCGGAUCGUGAGAAAUCGUGUGAAGCGCUGGAUGGGGUGGAAGCUCUGAAGCUGGUCAGUGGCGAACGGGUGAGUAACACGUGGGUCAUCUGCCCCGAAGUGGGGAACAACUGCUCGAAAGGGCAGCUAAUUCCGCAUAUGGUCCGGCGCAAGCUGGAAGAAAGGGACGUAAGUCUCGCUUUGGGAUGAGCCCGCGGCCGAUUAGCUAGUUGGUAGGGUAAUGGCCUACCAAGGCGACGAUCGGUAGCUGGUCUGAGAGGGCGAUCAGCCACACUGGAACUGAGACACGGUCCAGACUCCUACGGGAGGCAGCAGUAAGGAAUAUUGCACAAUGGGGGAAACCCUGAUGCAGCAACGCCGCGUGAGCGAAGAAGGCCUUCGGGUCGUAAAGCUCUUUUCUGGGGGAAGAGGAAGGACGGUACCUCAG